GAAAAGUUUCGAGAUGCAGUGAGAAAAAAAAACACCCAGACGCUCUACUAGGGUUUCAACCCUCUUCCUGAGGUUACCACCACCACACACGGAACAACACCACACACCGAUUCAACCGAUCAAAAACUCACAGAGACAUUCAGCAGUAAGUUGUAAACGAGGGGAAUAUUCAGUAAGGGAAGGGUGUGGGACAGACGCAUAUAAAAAAGAAAAGAAAUGGAAAAUGGUUGAUGGUGAUGAAUAAGAGGUUUCGUAUUCUCAGUCUUUCUCACACUCAAGAGGCAGGUUCUAAACGACGGGAAUAUUCAGAAAGGGAAAGAAAACACAAAAAGGAGAAAAGAAAUGGAAAAUGGAGCGUUUGAUGGUGAUCAAUAAGAGCUUUCUUAUUCUUAGUUUGUCUCACACUCAAGGUAAGAUUUUUAUAUUACCACUUACUCUAUAUAUGUCUUUUAAUGGAUCCAUUGCUCAAAUGAUACAAGCUGUUUUUGGCUGAAUUAUGGUCACG
rnacentral:sRNA from 1 species